rnacentral:lncRNA from 1 species
CAUGAGUCAGCUCAUGAAAUUUAGCCUCUCAGCUACUUCAGUCUGCUUGGCACACAUGGAAUUUAACAUUUUACUGUCCCCAUGCCAUUGCAUUCCUAUAUAAAUUAUUCAAAAACAGUAUCACUUUGAUUAAUUAGAACUUUAAUGGAUUUUUAAAUUAAAGACAACCUUGAUUGGAAAAAAUAAAUCAUCUCUGUCACAGAAUGAGGAACUGAGUGUACACCAUAUUAGGCCAUGUCGCAGAAGGGCCACUGCAUUUGCUGAUACUUCUCACACGCUCCUGUCUUAACACUCAGGCUGCUGUCUUCAGAUGCUAUUAAUUGGGGGGGGGGGGGGGGUCAUCACCCUUAAUUCCUAGAUUCAUUUUCCUUGUAAAUCCCCAACCUUGGAUUAAUCCACCCAAAUUGUCUGAUAAGUAGGUUUCUUAGUCUGGCGAAUAGUAGAACACCAUCAGUCUGGGAUUAGUGUCACUAUUAGGUCAUAGUCUCCAAGCUCAGCUGGGCUCAGACACUAUUAUGACAUCAUUUUACAUGAGACUGCUUAGACCUAUUUCCACCUGCACAAUGGCUAAUCUAAACCCACAUUUCUAUUUCUUGGGAUACAGCCAGGUCCCAGAUUUGCUGAGAAAAGUUAAGACUAUCAGUAUUAUUUUCCUAAACUGUUCCCAUUUUUAAAUGUUAUCUAUCUGUAUGUGUGCAUUUCCACUCUCUUUCCUUCAGCUUCUUGAGAAGAGCCGUAUCAUUUUUAAGUCCAGGUGUAUCUUUUCCCUGGGCUCCAGCCCUGGGAACUCACCACAAGAUUUCAAACCCAGGUUAUACUCUGCCUCAAUUAAUGCAUACUGUUACCAUAGCAGAACUGAGUAUCAGAGAAUAAGGACCCGAUUUGCUGAUCAACAAAACUAAGUUCAAACUGGCUUUGGCAAUUACUUUUUAAAUGACCUUGGACAAAUUACCUAACUGGAAAGGGUAUCAUUUUAUCAUUUUAUUUAUUUA